UACGUAGGGGGCAAGCGUUGUCCGGAUUUAUUGGGCGUAAAGAGCGUGUAGGCGGCCAUACAGGUCAGCUGUGAAAAACUCGAGGCUCAACCUCGAGACGUCGGUUGAAACCGUAUGGCUAGAGUCCGGAAGAGGAGAGUGGAAAUUCCCGGUGUAGCGGUGAAAUGCGCAGAUAUCGGGAAGAACACCCGUGCGAAGGCGGCUCUCUGGGACGGUACUGACGCUGAGACGCGAAAAGCGUGGGGGAGCAAACAGGGAUUAAGAA
rnacentral:rRNA from 1 species